UUUAUGGGAACAGUGGUGCAAUAUUUCACCAAGUUUUUUUUUUUUUUUGAGAAAAAGGUAGCGCGCUAUCUGAUUCAUUCAAUAAGAGACAUGAACUAAGUGUACAAGGUGGAAGCAGCUUAGAUUUUCUUGGCAAAAAAUGGUAAGAAAAAUAAAUAAAUAAAAUAGAAGUAAAACAAUAAAAAAAGUGAAAAAAAGAUCAAAGGGUAAAAGAGGGGAGAGUAAAAAAAAAUGCAAGUUGACGGGUUACAGGAGCGAGGUCUAGGAGUUGGACAGGGUUAAAGCUCUGUCCGAGGCUCUGACGAUGUUGGGAAGAUUCGAAGAGAAGGCAAAGCUAUUUCGUUCGGUCCAGACAACCCACCAAGU
rnacentral:lncRNA from 1 species